rnacentral:lncRNA from 1 species
GUGUUUUUAUGAUCUAACCUCAGGAGUCACAUCAGGUUAUUUCUACCACACCCUAAGGACUGAAGUCAUCACAGAGGUCCACCUGGUUUCCAGGGCAGGGGACAUAGACCCCCACCACUCCAUGGAGGAAGGAUGUCAAUGUCCCACUGUAAGAAUAAUAUGCAGGGUGUAAGACCUUGUUACAGACAACUUUGGAAAAUACAACUUGACACAGGAACUGACACUAAGACAACAGGAACAAAGACUAGUCAAUGGCCCCACUUAAUGGCAUGGGAUCUGGGAAGGGUAGUCUCCCUGAUGCCCAAGAAGGAGAGAGAACUGGAUGUUGAGUACCUCAAAGCACUAGAGCUCUGCAGAACCCACCUGUGGGUAGAUUUAAUCUUCAAGUCCCAGGCAAGACUGAGAUAGAAUGCUCUGAGGCAGGCUAAAACUAGCACCCUGACAACAUUCCAGAAAAUCCAGGCACUUAGGUAGAGUCUGCUCCAAAUCACUCCCCUCCUGGCUAUGAAAUUUGACAUACAGCAGAUACAUUGGGUCUUUUUCAUAUGAAGAGUUUCAUAUGUGGCAUAUUACGUGAUCACAUAAAUGUUCCAAAUGAAAUA